rnacentral:rRNA from 1 species
UACGUAGGGGGGCAAGCGUUUGUCCGGAUUUAUUGGGCGUAAAGAGCGUGUAGGCGGCCUGAAAGGUCAGCUGUGAAAACUCGAGGCUCAACCUCGAGACGUCGGUUGAAACCAUCUGGCUAGAGUCCGGAAGAGGAGUGUGGAAUUCCCGGUGUAGCGGUGAAAUGCGCAGAUAUCGGGAAGAACACCCGUGGCGAAGGCGGCACUCUGGGACGGUACUGACGCUGAGACGCGAAAGCGUGGGGAGCGAACAGG